rnacentral:rRNA from 1 species
GCAAGUCGGACGGCAAGGCAGUAGCAAUACUGCCCUAGAGUGGCGAACGGGUGAGUAACACGUAGGUGAUCUGCCUUUGGAUGGGGGAUAGCCCGUGGAAACACGGGGUAAUACCGCAUGAGGCUCUCGGGGUAAAGCCUGGGAGUGAAAGGUGCAAUUGCACCGUCUGGGGAUGAGCCUGCGGUCCAUUAGGUAGUUGGUGGGGUAAUGGCCUACCAAGCCGACGAUGGAUAGCCGGCCUGAGAGGGUGUACGGCCACACUGGAACUGAGACACGGUCCAGACUCCUACGGGAGGCAGCAGCUAAGAAUCUUCCGCAAUGGGGGAAACCCUGACGGAGCGACGCCGCGUGGAUGAUGAAGGCCGUAAGGUUGUAAAAUCCUUUUGUUGGCGAAGAAUGACCUGGGGAGUGGAAAGCCUCAGGGAUGACGUUAGCCGACGAAUAAGCCCCGGCUAAUUACGUGCCAGCAGCCGCGGUAAUACGUAUGGGGCAAGCGUUGUUCGGAGUUAUUGGGCGUAAAGGGCGUGUAGGCGGCUCAUCAAGUCUGGUGUGAAAUCGCAGGGCUUAACCCUGCAUAUGCGCUGGAAACUGGUGGGCUGGAGUUCUUGAGGGGAAGCUGGAAUUCCAGGU